GCUCCUUCCCCGCCGCCCUCCGGCUCGGGCGCCGGCCGGCCGGGACCCGCGGGGAGGAAGGCCGGGGCGGGCGGGGGAGGCCUGUGCGCCCCCGGGUUGGGAGACGGAGGCUGAGCGGAGGCGGGUCCCCCGGUGCCGCAGUGUCAGCCCGGCCCGGGCCCCGGACGGCAGGAAAAACCGCGGCUUCCCCACUCGCCCGGGCUCUCGCUCAGGCCGCGCUUUGUUUGGUUGCGGGGGCUCGGCACCCUCUACCCCCACCCAUCCUUUGGCUCCUUCGCUGGCUCACGGACCCCGCAGGAGUCUGUUGGUGGCUGGGGUGGGGGGAGGCAAAAUGUGGGAUUUCCCCCUUUUCUGCUGCCUUCCACGGUUUAGCCUCCCCCUUCCUAACAGAAGGUGUGGGGGGGGGGGGGGACAACUGGGAGUGAUCGGGCGGUGGGGCUGGCUGGGGAACUUGUUUUCCCCCUUUUCUCUGUUAGCCUCCCCCUUCCUGUGGAGGAGGGGGAAGGGGGGGAAUCCGAGUGGUCUGUGGUGUUGGCCGGGGAACUUGUUUCCCCCACCCCCCUCCCUAGUCACGGGGUAGGGGGAGCAGCGACUACUCUCCCAACCCCAUAAUGUUUGCUGCGCAGUUUGGCUUUAGUUACAGAACCCCUGGGAAGGACCCGUUAAAUCAAGACCUUUAAAUAAAUAAAUAUAGAAUCCAUCGGCCAUUUCCAGUCCCCUCCCUCGCGUCAGUGCAGUUACCCUUCGGUUCUAUCGACCACCCCUCUCGCCUGUCCUCCCCUAGCAAACCCCUACGCCUCCGUGCUACCCUCCGUCUCCUAGUGGGGUUUGAACGCCCCUUCCUUGGAACUGGCCCCUUGGGAGAGUGUGAGUGUGUGUGCUGUGUCCAAGGCCUAGUGAAAUGUGUCAUUUGGACCCAACUGUGCAGCUCUGUCUGGUAACCACCAUUGUCUAAGGGCUGAAGCUCCCGGGGGUUGGAUUCUUGCUUUAGCAAAAAUAAUGUUCAGUUCUACUUUGAUGAUGUGGUUAUUUUGGGAGAUAUAUGAGGUAGGAUGUGGCACCUUGGUCUCCAAACGUAACUAUUCUCUUUAUUAAUUAGCUGCUCUCAGUGGGAGUGGAGGUCAGUACCAUAUUUAUGUGUACGGUUGUUGUUUUAAGGAGGAGGGGAAUUGUUAGGAGACAUUUUGCGUGUUUUCGUUGGCGGAUUAAGGUUAAUUUUACAUGCGUUGGUUGUCACACCUCCUUUGAUUAAGCGAAUUGAGAUUAAAUGCCUUUUAAAAAUUAUACAUCCCUUCCUUAAAAACUGUUUCAAUGUUGUACUUAGCUAAAAUACUUAAAAAGAGAGAUGAGAAUCUUUUGAAAAAUAGUUCAAAGGGUUUUCACUAGUCUCUGUUACAGAUGGUCCUUGAGAAAGCAGUUUGCUAUAUGUUGCUUGAAAGAAUGUGAUGUUUCAAGCCAGUUAGAGGUGUUGUGCAACAGUAUUGGUAAAUAUGUUUUGAUGAUUCUCGGAUACAUUUACCAUGUUUUUGUAAAUUAAAAAUAUUUGUAGUUUCAUCAUUUCCUUUCACAUUUGCAUAGCAGGGUUUUCCUGUGUUCCAUUCAAAUAAUAGUCAAGUCCCCUUCCACCAUAUACUGUAGAGUUCACAGUCCUUUUUGAGAAAACAAUGAUACUAGAUUGAAAUCCUAGCAUAGGAAGGAUUUAAUUGCUGGAAGUGUUUUUAAGAUGUACUGAUUUGUUCAUACCAUUAGGGCUGAAUCAAAUCUGUUUGGCCAAACUUAAUUUAGUCCCAUUGUGUAUUUUAAAAUAUUUAUUCUGAAUCUCCUUUUCAUGAUGUGUGUAAUUUCAAACUUAGUUGAGGUACUUUUAUCUUGGGUACUUUUCUUAACAUUUGUUUGAAUUAUUAGCCACUAAAGUCUAUUUCCUUUUGAAGUAAAAUUACUUGGUGGUUGGCAUUAGCAUACUAGAGUGUCAGUUUCCUUUUCAUUCAUGUCCAUAAGCUGACUAACAAAAAGAUGUUCAAGAAAUCAAAAUUUCAGUAUACACCUAACCAAAUAGUAAAUCAAAUGCACUGUAGGAUUGUUGCUUUGCUGCAGCUAGUAGAAACUGUUCUGGUAAUUCCAUGUUGACACAGAGGGGAAAAGAACUUGCUGAUUAGCCUUCAGGGAAAAUUCUGUGGGUCUUUUAGAGGGCAGAUAAAUGGCUUUAAAAUGAAUAAAACAUUAAGAUAACUUAAAAGAGUAAAAUAGUAAAGAUUUUGCCAGUUUUAAGUAAAAUAUGUCUUUCUACAAAAAUUGGCGAUUUGAUUGCUUUUUAAAAACGUACAGUUCACACGAUGAGAAGUUAGUCAAAGGAAUAACCUCUCUUUUAAAAGUUUUAUGGAGCAUGGGAAGUGUCACUAUUUUUGGUCUGGAUAGAAGAGGUUUUGUUGUUUAAGAAUAUAGUGGGUAUCAUAAUUUUGACAAGGUAAUUAAGGAACUACAGCCAACAUGUAUGUGUGUGUUGUACUUUUUACUAACUCUUAAUGGGUAUGUAGCUCUUGAAUUAGAGUUUGGAUAGAGUUACAUAAUAGUGGAUCAGACAGCUUUCCAGGUCAGAAAUUAAAGUCAGACUCACUGUUUUUAAGACAAGUUAUUCAUUCAAUAUAAAAAAUUACUUAUUUCACAUAAAAGGAUGGACUUUGGCUUUUUAGUGGUAAUAGUAUAGUUACAAUGUAGUUUUUUUUUUUUUUUUCAAGCAAAAAUUUUGUCAGGGUUGGAUUUUUGUUGCUCCUUUACCCACAAGAUAAUUGGUCUAAAAACUUCCUUGAUACAUCCUUUCACACACACACACACACACACACACACACACACACACACACACACACUUUCUCUUAUAUGCCAUGGCCAGUGUUUGAAGAGGAAAAAAACAGUCUAAUACAGUGAAUUCUUAUGAGGACUUUUCAAAACCUUCCAUUGGGGACAAUUACUUAUACCCACAUUGGGAAAUAUUUGGCCUGAGUGUUUAAUGGAAUGCUGUCUUCACUCAUGUUAUCUGUAAUGGCCCACUGUCUUAACAUGGAAUACUAAUCAUUAGCUGGUUUUGGUCUUUUAGUUUAAGUUCCAGAGUUUAAGAUUUCACAUACUACUUUAAAUUAGUAGAAAAUAAUUGGUGUUCCACAUAGGGACACUUUGAUGAUAUAUUCCAGAUUCAGUGAAUCUGGAAGUAGUGUGGGGUAGAUUUUUUUAUAUUUAUUUUCUUUUGAAAUCCUGAAAGGAUUUAGCUUUUGCAGCUUGUUGUGAUUUAUGUUAAUAUCUUUUUGAUAGUCUUUUUCUAAAAGUAUGAGGUAAGGUUACAAGUCUGCAGAAGUGCUAUGUAUUCCGAGCAUUUUUAGUUUAUAGUUAAAAUUGGUUACUUAAAAUAGGUAAUAAAUACAAAUGAUUUAAAAUUCAGAAGUUUUUUGUCUACACCUGCCUUCAGCAACCAAAUUCUCCUGCUUGGAAUCAAUCACUAUUAUUAGUUUCUCAUUUAUUGUGUUUUAAUAAAAACAUAAAAAAUGAAACUUGACAACUGAAAGUCUUGAUAUCAAAGUUUUUGAAAAUAGGUGUAAUUUUUUCUGGUUGGAGAAUUCAUAAGAUUCUUUUGAAGUGCUGAAAUUUUAAUUAUAUAAUCAUUGAUAGUUCAAGAGAUUUAAUACAAUAUAUUAAUGGUAUUGCUAUUAAUUUCUAGUCUGAAGUAAUUGUAGAGAGUAAAAACAUAGUCUUUUUAGUUCCAUAUUUGUGGGAUAAAAAUCUCACCGAUGACCCUGGAAUUAGAGUUUUGUUUUAACUAAACAUGUUGAAAUAAUGCAGUACAUACAGUAUAUGUGAAAUAUUCCUAAUGGAGCUACAUAUUAUAAUAUGCAGCAGCCAGGAAACUCCUUAGUGUUCUAGUCAUGCAUGCUAAUCAUACCUUCUGUGGGCUUGUUCUAGCUCAUGAUAUUUUACCUUCAGGUUCUUCAGAAUAAGGAACUUACAGAAUGCAAGAAUAAGGAACUUCUGCAACCUUUUUUGACAGAAGAGUUCUGGGCAAAGGACAUGAUUUUUCCAGUCUUAGGAAUUAAGUACUGUGGGCCACUACUCUCCCAUCUGGUGGCCAAACCUUCAAAAUAUUUACAUCCAUGAAAGGAGAAAUGCCACCCAGUUUUUUGUGGGAGUAGGGUGGGGUGGAAAAGAGCCUGUUUUCUCAAAGCUUAACAAGUUAUUUGAGGGAUAGAAAUGAGAUAGUGGGGUGCCUGGGUGGCUCAGUCAGUUAAGGUAUGACUCUCGAUUUCUGUUCAGGUCAUGAUCUCACAGUUCAUGAGAUUGAGCCCUGCAUCAGGCUCUGUGCUGACAGCAUGGAGCCUGUUUAGGAUUCUCCCUCUCCUUCUCUUUCUCCUCAUCCUCCACAUCCUUCACUCUUGCUCUCUUGCUGUCUCUCUCAAAAUAGAUAAACAUACAUUUUCAGAGAAAACAUGAGAUAGUGUGACAAUGCUGAUGUGAAAGUUCUGCUGAUUAGGCCUAUGGGUUGUCCCUAUACUGCUUUUCUCUUUCUUUACUGGAAAUUCUGGCAAACCCAAGGACAGGCCAACCAGCUUGGAAACCUACCAGAUUUGUCUCUGGAAGAGAUUGCACUGAUUGGCCAGCAUGUUUUUCCAGCUUGUUGAGAUCACUAAGUGCUCAUUGUGUAAAGAGGGGUAGAUUUCUCUUGAAUUACUCAUAAGUUAUGAAUAAAAGGUGUUAAGUCAUUUUAGCUCAUGGUUAUAGACUAGCCUAUUUCAGGAAGGAAAAAUGUGAGUUAAAUUACACUUCAGUGGUAAUUUUGACAGGUUUGUGGACUAAAUAUCCUUUUGUCACCAUAGCUUUAUGUCUUUGCAUGUAUAGCCUGGGGUUUUUAUAUGUUUGGUUAACACAGAAAUGUGCUUAAACUUAAUCCUUAGAAAAUAGAGAAAUGAAACCAAUUAACUUCCCUUGUAUAAUUUAUUUUAGUUUAAGGAAAUAUCAAAAAUAUGUACUUUGAAAAUGAAUACAUUGUGUAUUUUUUGUUUUAAAACAUCCAAAUUAAUAUAGUAUAUUAAAGCAAAUGUAAGUUGCUUAUUGUCCCCAAUUUCUAAAGAUCCAAUUGUCAGUGUUUAGUCCUUCUAACAAAUGAAAAAUUGUGUGUGUUCAAAAGAGGAGAAAAAAUUAUUAAAUGCUGUUCCCUCAACUGGUGAAUAAACCUUAAAAAACAUAAUGGAAUAUUUCCACAUCUCAUGAAGGAAGAGGUACAAAGAGAGCCUACUUUUCUGUUUUCUCAAAGCUUUGAAAUUGAGUGAUAGAAAUGGAAUAAUAACCUGUGCUUUAAAAUUUUUUUUCUGGUAACAGUGAAAAUCUUUACUGAUUUCUUCUAGUGUGCAGCAUGCACUCAUUUUCUAGAUGUUCAGGUUGGGUUGUGUCAAAAUCUUUGACUACUAAAAAUUUUUCCUCAGAAUGGAAUUAACUGGCUCCUAUAGGGGUUCAGUCUUUGACAUUGAUUUCUUUAGUACCAUGUAUUGAUAACUGACUUGAAUCAGUUUAGCCUCUGCUGGUUUGCUGCCUUUACUUGAGUUUAAUGAGAAUUCUUUUUUACACUGAAAUAUUGAUUUUGUAUCUUGCAUCCAUAGUCUAUAACAUAGUAUGUAUAAGACCAUGUGGCUUUAUGAGAAUCUGACACUUAAGAGGAAGCAGGUGGGGAAGAGAAAGAACAUACAGCUCUUUUUUAUUCACCUGUUAUAUUUUGAGUUGGACAGGGUUGGUAUAUAUAUGUCACUAGUAAUUGUUUCUUCCCAUAUAAUCAUACAUA